UCCCACGUGACCCUCCGGCGCGUCCAUCUGGAGUCGUGCGGGCCGCAGAGGCUCUCCCACUGCUCAGCUGCUGCCUGCGGCCUCCACGGGCACAGGUCCUUGGUGUGGAGGCCACGCUCCAUGGGGAUGCCAGGAGGAGAGACAGUGUCGGAGCCCCAGGCCGCCCACAGCCCCCUGGAGAAGCCGCCCAGCACCGCGAUCCUGUGUAACACCUGCGGGAAUGUGUGCAAGGGGGAGGUGCUAAGGGUCCAGAACAAGUACUUCCACAUCAAGUGCUUCGUCUGCAAAGCCUGCGGCUGUGACCUGGCCGAGGGCGGCUUCUUCGUGCGGCAGGGCGAGUACAUCUGCACGCGGGACUACCAGCGGCUGUACGGGACCCGCUGCUUCAGCUGCGACCAGUUCAUCGAGGGCGAGGUGGUGUCGGCGCUGGGCAAGACCUACCACCCCGACUGCUUCGUGUGCGCCGCGUGCCGGCUGCCCUUCCCGCCGGGGGACCGAGUGACCUUCAACGGGAAGGAAUGCAUGUGUCAGAAGUGCUCCCUGCCCAAGACAGCGGGCAGCAGCGUGCACCUGUCCCAGGGCCUCUGGAGUUGUGGGGGCUGUGGCACAGAAAUAAAAAGUGGCCAGUCCCUGGUGGCUCUGGACAAACACUGGCAUCUGGGCUGUUUUAAGUGUGAGACAUGCGGGAAGCAACUGGACGCGGAGUACAUCAGCAAGGACGGGCUGCCCUACUGCGAGGCCGACUACCACACCAAGUUCGGCAUCCGCUGUGACGGCUGUGAGAAGUACAUCACGGGGCACGUGCUGGAGGCAGGAGAAAAACACUACCACCCACUCUGUGCACUAUGCGUCCGGUGCGGCCGGAUGUUUGAGGAAGGCGAGGAGAUGUACCUUCAAGGUUCCUCCAUCUGGCACCCGGCGUGCCGACAAGCAGCCAGAACUGAAGACAAAAACAAGGAAACCAGAAGCUCUUCCGAGAGCAUCAUUUCUGUACCUGCUUCCAGCACCUCGGGGUCUCCAAGCCGCGUGAUCUAUGCGAAGCUGGGCGAUGAGAUUCUCGACUACAGGGACUUGGCUGCUCUUCCUAAAAGCAAGGCCAUCUACAACAUCGACCGCCCCGACAUGAUCUCCUACUCACCGUACAUCAGCCACUCGGCGGCGGGCAGGCAGAGCUGCCACGAGUCCCCACAGGUACUCUCGCCGACGCCGACAGAGGGGGAUCAGGAUGACCGCUCAUGCAAGCAGUGCCGGACCUCCAGCCCGAGCUCCACCGGGUCAGUCAGCCUCGGGCGCUACACCCCGACCUCACGGUCACCCCAGCACCACAGCCGUCCAGCUGGUACUGUGAGUGUUGGUACUAGUAGCUGCCUGUCCCUGUCCCAACACCCAAGCCCUACAUCCGUGUUCAGACAUCAUUACGUCCCCUACUUCCGAGGCAGUGAAAGUGGCCGGAGCACCCCCAGCCUCUCAGUGCUCUCAGACAGCAAGCCUCCCCCCUGCACCUACCAGCAGGCGCCUCGCCACUUCCACGUCCCAGACACUGGCGUAAAAGAUAACAUCUAUAGGAAACCCCCUAUCUACAAACAGCAUGGUCCUGUAGCCCAGUCCCCAAUUUCCAAGCUCUCGGGCCUGAUGUCAGUCUUGUCCUUGGUGGUGCACAAGGCAGGGUGUUCCAAAAGGCUCAAAGGUCCAAGCCCUCCGCAGGCUGCAGCUGUCAGGCGACCCGAUGGAGAGGACGGAAUUUUCGAGCAGGAUAACAGGAAGCAGAAGACCAGCUGGCUGCUUCUCAAGGGGGAUGCAGACACUAGGACUAACUCUCCAGACCUAGACAACCAGUCUUUGUCCCACAGUAGCGGGACCGAUAGAGACCCUCUCCAAACAAUGCAAGGGGACAACUUUUACUCACGAUUCCCCUAUUCCAAAUCUGACCCUCUCCCAGGACACGGAAAGAAUGGCUUGGACCACCGGAGCCUAAUAAGGGGCUUAAAGGAUCAGCUACUUGGGGAGCAACGUGAGCCACGGAUCCACUUCCUUCCUGGGGUGCCCCGGCCCCUCACGACGGUCACCACGAACGGUACCUUGAACAUCUGUGGCUAUUACCGUCACCCCUAGUACUGCCACUUGCCCUGUAAUUAUCCCUGGGUCCCACACUCCGUAGCUGGCUUUCUCUGGCUGCUCCCAGCUAAAGGCUGGCCGGACUUCCCAAUCCAGGACAUUGGAAUGUGAGCCCAGAGAGUUUGGCGCCCGACUUGGCCCCACGGAGGGGCUGGGCGGCUUUCUGUCACUGUUUCCACAGCUUCACUAGUCCCCAGUGAGGACCCCUGGGGUGGGGCGGGUGUGAUGGCACCAGAGCCCCCCCCACACACACACACACAGCCCCAGGACACCCCCCUCUCAGGCACCUCUCUGCUGUCUGAAACCGGGGCGAGUUGUUCCGCUGGAGAAGGUGCUCAGAGGUCGAACCCCCGUGUGUUGCAUGGCAGGGUUCUCGGCAGUAAGUGUGUAACGCCCGGGACAGCCUUCUGCAGCCCCCAGGGCACACCUCGCAUCCAGGGGCCCGGCCGCAGGGACCCGUCUAAGAACAGGGAUGAGGCAGGCGUUUUCUCAGCCUUGUUCGUCUUCCUCGGGCCCUGUCCGACCUACCGUUGUGCCCGUCCGGGGCCCAGGCACCUCUGCAUGGUUUGACUCUAGUGAAGCCCCCUUCCCACUAAUCUCACUUCCAAUUCUGGAAUGGGCCGAGUCAGGGCGUGCAUGCCGCAUGCUCCUCUCGAUUUUCUUCUAAGGAUUUCUGCACCCUUCAUCUUCAGUGGACAGCGGGCACGGGACGGGGGGCAGGAGGACGUCCACGGGACCCCCACAGCACCAGGAAUUGUCAGUCCUUGGGCUCAGGGUUAGGGGUCCUGAGGGGCGGUGGGGAAAUGGUCCAGAAUGUUCUCUGCGUACCUGGAACAGCUGUUCUGGGACUCAGGCCCAUGAGGGUGGCAGUGUUCCACCCCUCGAGCCAAGUCCUGGACUGUCCCUCGAUAUGUGGAAGACCAGGGAGGAAUGCCCAGCAUUUCUAGCCUUGCUUCAUUGGUGCCUGGGCCACGUGUCCUCUGGGGAGAUGCCCUCCUUGGUUCAUGCUGGAAUGACUUGGAUCGAUGCCCCCAGCACCUGCAGAGAAGGCCACGGCCUCACACGCCCCACCCCCACAAGAGCUGGGAACAGCUGACCCAGACAUUUCAUCAUGGACACCGUCUUCACUCCCUCUCCCAGAACGAGUGAGAGUAGAGGCUAGAGCUGUAGAGUCGAGAGCUGAGCCUCUGUGAAUGUUUCUCCCGCCGGCCUCAAGGCGGGGGAGGCCUGUGCGUCCUGCAGAUGCUGGGGGGUUGGCAAAGGGGGCUGCAUCCUCGUGGGAAGAUCUUCAGCUUUUCACGUGGCUUAUGUGGAGAUUGGUGACUCACAUUGGAGACUUUGCUUUGGGGUUCUUUUUCCCUGCGAAGAUUCUUUCCUGUUUUUUCAGACUUUCUAAGACUUUUAUGUAAUUUUAUGCCUACUUCUCAGUGGGAAGACCAGAUAAUUGAGCUUUUGAAUGACCAGCCUUUUAUGGUGCAACCAUGCUCAGCACCCAGACAUGGUCACCCACUGCUGUCCGUGGCCUACAGUGCUCACAAGCCACUUGUUAGAUUGUUUUUUUGGUGUCUCUCCACUUCCAGAAAGGAUUCUAGGUGGACCGAAGUAAGAAUACAGGUGCACUGAGGCCGGAAGCCCACAAAGCCCAAAUCACAAAGGAGCAGAAGAGGAAGCUCUAGAAGAAAUCAUAUAUCAGAAUUAUAUCAGAAACAAAAGAACAUUGUAUGAGCCAAACCGCUGAAGCUUAGCUCUGAGCUUCCUGGUGGCCAAGGCAAAGGGGCAAACAUGACCAGCUAUGUAGUUCUCGUCCGAUGGAAGGAAGAUCAGUUCAUCAGGGGAUAGAGGUUCUAGUUCUUGCUUCGAGAGGGAUUUGGCACAAGGGGCCACCACCCUGAGUCCCAGAGCUCGUUAAAAUGUCCUGCUAACCAGCCUGCCACAGAGCCCACUCCUGGUAGAUGCUCUCCUCUUAUGGAAUAAAUAGGGCAGUAACCACCUGUCACAGGCAUUCCUGUAGAUGAGGCAGCGUGGCUCCCAACAUGUGCCACCUGGUCUGUUAGUAAGAGAACGACCUCUGGCCACCGACAGAAAAACCCUGAGGGCAAAUAUGGACAGACUGAAUUCUCCUGCUGGAGGACAGAGCCUGCCAGAUUAUAGCAAUAGCCUAAAGAGGGGACACUAGUUUGUGAUGACACACGUCAUGCAGCAGGUGUCGCAUUCCCACAUGGAACUGCGCCGAGCAGCAUGGCUGUGCCAGGGACCCUGAUAAGGUACAAGAUGGGAGGCAAUUUGAAUGUGGCAUUUGGAGUCAGACAUGUGGAUCUAGUGGACAAAAAAUAAUAAAAGAUGUAGGGAGCAGUUAAUAGUGCAAACAGUAAACCAUCUACUAGGUACAUGAGAAAAAUCUGUAUCUUUUGAAUCAGGUUUUCACAUGUCCAUAAAGCAUUUGCAAAAAUGCCUAUGUACAAGGAAAACCUUAAUAAAUUAAAGAAGUCUGAUAUUUUCCAACGGUAACUCUGGACAGAACACGUGCCGCACUGAGCCCCGAGUUCAAAUCCCAGCUCUGCCACCAGCCACCUGUAUGUCUUCGGGCAAGUCACUUACAUUUCCUGAGUCUCUACUCCCUGUCUUUAAAAAAGUUAUCCUUACCUCUUAAGAUCAUUGUGAGGACAAAUAACAGUCAAAACAUGUGAGAUCUUCUUGUAAGCUCUAUAGAGUGGUUCCCACAAGAGUAACUGUUAUAAAAGCAAGUUCCUACCCCUUCUUCCUUCCACAGUGGUGGCUACUAAGUGGCAAAUUCCAGCGCAAGUCUUAGCAAGACAGUAACGAUGGGCCGUGAACAGCCACAAUUCCAUUCCUACUACUAACAAUUCCAGUAUCAUUUUUGAGAAGCAAAAGACAUGGCUUACAAUGUUUACAGUUCUGUGUAUUUGCUGUAUGAUCUUGGGCUCAUUCCUUAACCUCUCUGAGCCUUGUCCAUAAAACCGUGACGAUGAUGCCUACCUCCUAGGCUUGCAGCGAAGAUUGCAGAAUGUGUCUGUAGGUAACUGACACCUAGUAAACUCCAAACCAAUGGGAGAGGUAAAUAAUCUGUUGCUUUUCAAUUCUCCAGUGCCUCUGUUGAGAACUGCAAGGGAAUCAGCCAGGGUUGGGCCUGUGGGGCUCCCCUGGCCACCCCACCUGUUAAGGAGUGACCCCAAGGCUCCCUCGCACCAGAGAGGUCUUGAAGAUCUCAGGCACUUAGAGGACCAAGAGGGGGCUGGGCUGUUCUUCCCCUGCUCUGGACUGAUCUGGUGCCCCCGCGUCCAUUCCAAAGAUGCCCUACCCUCUCUCCUGGGAGUCUCUGUCUGGCCUCAGAGACUGGCAGACCAGAGGAGGCUGGUUUUGCUGCUAGGAAAGGCGUCUCUAACUGCCCGAGGUGGCGGUCGCCUGAGAUUGAGUGGCCUGUGAUGCAGGGCAGUGGGCGCUAGGGGGAGGCAUGUCUCUUCCGCGUCACCGACCGGCCCGGUGGGAGAAGACGAGUAGAGGGCAGGUUUGCCUUGCCUUAGGCAGGAGGAGGUUUCCAGACCAGACAGGUGCGCCUGGGGCUGCUUCUCAGCGUCCUGAGAAAAUGUCUCAAAAAUUGUUCUUGCAAACCCCUAAGGAGAAUUAUUCUGUGACGGUCAUGAGAGUGGGUGGGGGUGAGGGCACCUGGCUCAGGGUCCCGGGGCUGAGCCUAGGUGAGGCGAGUGAGGCACUUGCCGAAAGGCUCCGUAAUCAAAGUAAAUAAUGUUCUAAUGCAAUGUUUUUUUAAAGCCCAAGUCAAUGCAAGAAAAUUCAUGAUGAACAAAAUACCAAAUCUUUAAAUAGAGACUGGCUCCAGCCCUCCACUUACGUACUUGCCCGACUCACCACCCUUGUCUCCCCUUUUUGGGAUGAAGGACUUUGGGCUCGGGGCUCUCUGGCUCGUCCCUUGCCCGCACACUCUCUGGAACUACACCUGUUCCUUGCAUGUCGCCCCUCUACCGCAAGAAGUACUGCUGACCGCGCUUUCCCGGUCGCCCGAGCAGGGCGAGGCGCGACUCUCCCCUGGGACUGCACGGGAUCCCAGAAAUGCCAGCCCAGAGCGCCGAGGCUGUGUCAGAGCAGGUGCUGGGCCUGCAGGAACCGUGCUCUUCCAGCGGCUCCAUGGACCGCAGGCCGUGACAGAGCUUGACUCGUGGUGUUCAUGCCAGGCGCAGGAGUGGGGGUAGAGACACGGGGGCUCGGUGCCUGCUUUUGGGGCCCAGACCCUCCUGAGCGGUGUGUGGGGCGAUUUUUUCAGGCGGGCGGAGGGAAGAGAAUUCCCAGCGUGGGUGGUGGAGAUGCACGGAGUCUGCUGAUGACUGCCGUGAACGGGGGAGGCAGGCCCCCGACGGUGGCCCCUGUUCCCUUGUGUCCCCACCUCAGAGCCAUCCUCUGUCACGGCCGCUUAGGCACGCGGGGCUCUGUCCAGGGGCUGUACGAACCGGCUCUCCUGGGCGCCUGGGGCCCGUGGGGUCUGGAGGGGAGCAGCGGCCACCGCAGGCUGGCCUCCGCACCGGGCUGGGCUGCACCCCUAGGGGACUGCAGGGCGCAGGGAGCAGGCGUGCAGGCGCGGCUCGAAAGGCAGGCAGGAGAGCUGGGCCAGGCAGGGUCCCCGCCGGCCUGGAAGGCAGGGGGGAGGCACACGAGCAAACCCGCCAAGUGUGUCCCAGCGUGGCCCUUCCAGAGCCGAGGCGCCGGGGACUCUGGGGAGCCCACCUUCCUCCCCUCACCCCCACCCCCAGAGCCGGGUAAAACCAAGGCGCGACCACCCGCCCCUACAACCUGCCGCCUGCCGCCCUCUCUCUUUCUCUUCCAGAAUGCCAAUCUGGCCCCUUGUGGAGCAGACCCGGAUGCCAGCUGGGGCACGCGAGAAUACAAGGUAAGAGGGGCCACCCGCUGCCACGCCGACCUCUGCCCGCCGCCACGCACCUGCCCAGGUUA